rnacentral:misc_RNA from 1 species
UAUACUUUCUCUCUCUCUAAGCCGCAACUAUUUAUUCAUGGAUCAGUUACCCAAGCUUCCAGCUAACCACACUCCUCUCACCCCCAUCACCUUCCUCCAUCGCGCCGCCGCUGUCUACGCCCACCGCACCUCCCUCGUUUACAACAACACCCACUUCACAUGGGACCAGACCAACAACCGCUGCACCCGUCUCGCCUCCUCCCUGGCCUCUCUCAACAUCUCCACCAAUGACGUCGUCUCCGUCCUCGCCCCCAAUGUCCCCGCCCUCUACGAGCUCCACUUUGCCGUCCCCAUGGCCGGCGCUGUCCUCAACACCAUCAACACCCGCCUCAGCGCCAACAACAUUGCCACCAUCCUCGCCCACUCGGAGGCCAAGCUCUUCUUCGUUGACUACGAGUAUGUCCGCCUAGCUGGAGACGCAAUCAACCUCCUUGUCAACAGUGGCCAUAGCUCGCCCCCUCUACUUGCUGUCAUUUACGACGUCGACACCCCGACAGGCGUCAGCCUCGGCGAGCUGGAGUACGAGGAGAUGGUCGCCGGCGGCGACCCUAAUUUCCAACCACAUCAGUUCGCUGAUGAGUGGGACCCUAUCUCACUCAACUACACCUCCGGCACCACUUCCGCCCCAAAAGGAGUAGUGUACAGCCAUCGUGGAGCUUAUCUCAGCACUGUCAGCCUGCUCCUCCAAUGGGAAGUCGCCAGCGAACCGGUGUACUUGUGGUCCCUUCCGAUGUUCCACUGCAACGGCUGGACGUUCACCUGGGGUAUGGCGGCGCGCGGCGGCACCAACGUUUGCAUCCGUGCCCCCACCGCCGUCUCCAUGUACCACGCCAUAGCCGACCAUAAAGUCACACACAUGUGCUGCGCCCCGACCGUCCUCAACAUCCUUCUUGACUGUGGCGAGCAACGGCGGCUUGCCACCCCGGUGCAGAUUCUCACCGGCGGUGCACCGCCGCCGCCGACAGUGCUCGAGCAGGUGGAAGCAAUGGGCUUCUGUGUGACCCAUGCCUACGGGCUGACGGAAGCCACCGGACCAGCCAUGGUGUGCGAGUGGCGGGCUCGUUGGGACCGCCUCCCAGCCAGGAGAAGGGCCGCGCUGAAAGCGCGGCAGGGCAUCAGCGUGCUGUCGCUCGCUGAUGCCGACGUGAAGCACCCGAGGACGCUUGACAGCGUCCCGCGGGACGGAAGGACGACUGGCGAGAUCGUCCUCCGCGGGAGUAGCAUCAUGAAAGGGUACUACAAGAAUGAGACGGAGACGGCCGAGGCCAUGAAGGGCGGGUGGUUCUGGACUGGGGAUGUUGGGGUGGUGCACCCGGACGGGUAUCUCGAGAUCAAGGACAGGAGCAAGGAUGUGAUUAUUUCUGGUGGGGAGAAUAUCAGCAGUAUUGAGGUGGAGACUGUGGUGUUGCGGCAUAAUGCAGUGGCGGAGGUGGCGGUGGUGGCGAUGCCGCACCCGUAUUGGGGGGAGUCGCCGUGUGCAUUUGUCGUGCUGAAGAAGGGCUACGGUGAGGUGAGGGAGGAGGAGAUAAUCUCGCACUGCCGCAGCGCCAUGGCUAAGUUUAUGGUGCCGAAGAGGGUCGUGUUUGUGUCGGAGAUCCCAAAAAAUCCGACCGGUAAGACGUUGAAGACAGAACUGAGAGAAGCGGCGCUGCGGCUGAAGCCAGUGGAGGGGAAGCCAGCUACAGUGCAGGUGCCUUAUCAUAACGGGAAUAGUAGCCGGUCAGAGGGCCACGAGCAAGUGAUAGCAGUUUCGCGCCUCUGAUGGACUAGUUGACAAAAGGAAGGCAACUUCAAAUUUCAUAUUUGUAUAAGACUAUAUGAACAGCGCGACAUGGUGUUCAGGGUCAACUCCUGUACUCAUGGUACUUGGGUGGACCUGAACUAAUAUUAUUUUUAUUGUUAUUAAACUUAAUUAAAUAAGUGAGUUUCUGGAUUAAAUUUAGAAAGGCAAUAUUUCCACUAUCUAUCGUGAUUUUCA